UACGGGGGGAGCAAGCGUUGUUCGGAUUUACUGGGCGUAAAGGGCGCGUAGGCGGCCACCGCAAGUCGACUGUGAAAUCUCCGGGCUUAACCUGGGAACUGCAUCCGAUACUGGAUGACUUGAAUCCGGGGAGAGGGAUGCAGAAUUCCAGGUGUAGCGGUGAAAUGCGUAGAUAUCUGGAGGAAUACCGGUGGCGAAGGCGGCAUCCUGGACCGGCAUUGACGCUGAGGAGCGAAAGCUAGGGGAGCAAACGGG
rnacentral:rRNA from 1 species